rnacentral:tRNA from 1 species
GCCGGUGUAGCUCAAUUGGUAGAGCACCUGACUUGUAAUCAGGGGUUGUGGGUUCAAGUCCUAUCGCCGGCACCA